GCAGUGAGGGGCCCCGGGUCGAACGCGUGGCCACUGGGUCUGCUCUGCCCCAGAUCUCCAGGCCACACUUUCUGGACUGGCCUGGAUUAGACAGCAAAGACGUGGGAACUGUUUCCAGAAGGCCGUUGGAGAGAACAUGUCGGUAACAGUGUGACAACAUGGUGGUUCCAAGUGACAGACUCAAUUUGAACCAGACAAGGCAAAAAGAAGACUAUGGCUCACGGAGCCCGGGUUUCAGGGACAGUUGCAACCAGGAACUCCAAUGCUAUCAGGACCAUCUCCCUCCUCUCUCUGUGUUGGAUUUAUCCUUUCCGCCUGCAGAUUGGUUCCUUCCAGGGACCAGAACCACUGCCACCAGCAACUUUUGGCUCAGAUGUUCUGUGAUCUGUUGUUUUCCCUCAGUUCUGAUGGGACAAACCUCAGGGGAGGACCUUCCAUAGUCUCAGCGUAGUGCAGUCAUGCUCUCCCCUGUGGCUGGGGGUGGCGUCCUCUGACUGGCAGCCAGGGCUGCAUCCGGAGCACUGGAUGCAGGGCUCUCUCUGAGAAGGAAUAGAUGGGUGCCAUUCACAUCAACACAGCCUGCGGCGGUGUCCAACACCUUCCCUUCGGCACAACGGCACCAGCCUAUGUCUCUGAUUUGUGAACUGACUUUUAGAAAUCAGGGUGGCAACUUCACCCACCCCUACUCUUCCUGAAAUGAAGGGACAGUGUCCUAGGAGGACCGCAGUGUGUCUCUCCAUCUUUUUUUUUUUUGUUUGUUUUUUGAGACGGAGUCUCUCUCUGUCACCCAGGCUGGAGUGCAGUGGUGCCAUCUCGGCUCACUGCAACUUCUGCUUCCCGGGUUCAAGCUAUUCUCCUGCCUCAGCCUCCUGAGUAGCUGGGAUGACAGGCACGUGCCUCCACGCCCGGCUAAUUUUUGGAUUUUUAGUGGAGACAGGAUUUCACCAUGUUGGCCAGGCGUUUCUCCUGACCUCAGGUGAUCUGCCCGUCUCGGCCUCCCAAAAUGCUGGGAUUACAGGCAUGAGCCACCGCAUCUGGCUGUGCCUCUCCAUCUUAAAUUCACCUCUCUGCCGGUUGCCUUGGUGAAAGUGGAUUCAAGGAAGGGGUCAUCAUGAGAGAGUGCCUGAGCUGAAGGGCAGGAGAGGAGAGGAGGGGUCUGAGCACCUCAGCGAGGCCUCAAUUAGGAUCAGCAAAUAAGAGAUUGUUGCAAAUGUUCUGCAAGAUGCAUUGUAUAGAGCGAUUCACUGUGUGCCUGACAUUUCCUGAUAGCCCUGAAAGCUAAGCAGGGGCUGCUUAGCAUUGUAAUAAAUGUCACCACCUGAACAUUAUUAGUGGUGUCUUCUGACCUGCCAGGUUAUCUGAUGAACAAACCAAGACUCAGAGAGGGGCAGGGGCAUUAGUGCUCCACAGCGAAUUGGACAGCUCAGAACUGGGAUCCAUGGCUCCCGAUUCCUCCAAUUCCAGAGGCCUCGAAUGCCCAGCUAAAGCACUGGAUUUGAUCCUGCUGCCCCUGGGAAGGAUUGGAUGCCUUCUGAGUGGGGAGGCAUUGCUGAGAGACAAUAGUGGACAGAUGGGUUGUCUUUGCCUCAUGUCUUGUUGCCCCUGGGUGAGCACGGGCCCUUUCGGCCUAUGACACAGACAUCCCGGGGUCUGCUCGGUGUUGUGCCAUCCUCAAGUCUGGAUACUGAGCUGAACCGUGGGCCUGCCUCUGGAUUGGAUGUCCCCAGUCCUGGCUGCAUGUCAGAGUCACCGGAGAGCAGAACAAAAGAAAGAUGCCCAGCCCAGCUCAGGGCUGUGAAACCCACUCUCUACAGGCGACUCCCUCUGGGCCAGCCUGGUCCUCAGGGUUCCAUGAGGAGAUCACAAAGUCCUCCUGGAGGAGGAGUCUGAGAAGAACAUGCUGGAAGUGUGACUUGUUAUAGCUGUAUUUGAGGAAGCACAUGACGAGGGCAGGGAUGGGCCACGUGUGUCAAACACCCCAGCCCAGACCUGCUGAGCUGCACAUUUCCAAUCCCAUCCCAUGCCCUGUCGGAGGCUCCUCACCCUUCGGCAGAUUCUAAUGAUACAGCAGGCCCUGCCAUCUCCAUCUGCCAUGAAUUGCUAACUAUUGCUGCCUCUGUUAUAGUCAUUAGCAACUCAACAUUAAUAUCCCCCACAUCCAUCACUGCGGUGAUUAGGAUCCUGGACUUGCGGGGUGCCUCACUGGCGAGGGGGUGUGAGCUGGAUCCCCAGGGCCUGGCUGCCCUGCCCUGAGUGGGUGGGGAAGGAAGGGGACAGGCCAGCUUGUUAAACCUAAUUACCUGGCUCCAGACAGCCGGCCCGAGCUCUUCUGAGAGCUGGCUCUGCCCACCGUGUAAUCCUCUGCCUGCCUCUCCGCCAUAACGAGCCGGCCCGCCACCAGCUGCCACGCGGCUAGAUGGGGCUGAGUUUAAUUGCUACCCCAAAUGUCAGCCCUUUCAAACCCACAGUAUUUCAUCACUUACCUUUAAAGAAGAGGGGAAAAAAAAUCAAUUUGGACCGUGAGUUUCGGCAGCAAAGCCUGCAGAAAGGGCUGCCCAGUUCUUCAGGGGAGCGGCUCUUUUCAUUAAAAUAGCUAUUUUUAAAACUCUCUCUCUCCCUCUCUCUCUCUCUUUAACACGAGAUGAAAAAUCCCAGCUACAAGAAGAAACCCUUUCAUGAAGGAAUAAUAAUAU
rnacentral:lncRNA from 1 species